rnacentral:rRNA from 1 species
UUGUCCCUACGGGGGGCAGCAGUGAGGAAUAUUGGUCAAUGGGCGGAAGCCUGAACCAGCCAAGUCGCGUGAGGGAAUAAGGCCCUACGGGUCGUAAACCUCCUUUGCCGGGGAGCAAGGGCCGGGACGAGUCCCGGUCCGGAGAGUACCCGGAGAAAAAGCAUCGGCUAACUCCGUGCCAGCAGCCGCGGUAAUACGGAGGAUGCGAGCGUUCUCCGGAUUUAUUGGGUUUAAAGGGUGCGUAGGCGGGCUUUUAAGU